UGCCUGCCCUUCCCUUCUCUGGGGACGUGGGGCCAGGAGCACUCCCGGGGCGCAGGGCUCGCCUCACCCGGGGCCCAGCCCUGCCAGGGGAUGGGGGCCCUGAUUCUGACCCCCAGCUCAGCCGGAGGCCAGUCCUGAGGAGUGAGGCCAAGUGAGCCCGAGGGCGGGCGGAGAGUGUGGCCCUGUGGCCGCGCCCUGUCCAGGUGGGCGUGCGGUCUGCAGCUCGGGGCCCCAGGACCUCAGAUGGCUCCCGGACCAGAUGCACAGCAGCAAGGGGCUGGGGGGGGCUUCCUGUCCCUGACCUGUCCCCUAACCUGGCCUCCGUCUCAGAGCCUAGGUGGUACUCCGUGACCUCGGGCCUUGGGGGUGCGCAUGAAAGACAGGCAGGGAGGCAGUGUUCUUCCUUCUGGGCCCCGCUGUCCCCCUGCCCCAGCCCCACCUGGGUGGGACCCCGGCCCACAGGGGAAUGGGCUUCUGGAUCACACCACAGCCCACCCCACACCCCCUUCCGGAAGCACCUGUGUCGGCGGGUCUGGAGCAUGGGGUGGGGUGCCUGGGGACGUCCCCGGGGAGUUGGGUGCACAGGGGGGCCACCGCUUCUCCCUCAGGGCAGCAGAUUGGGGUCCGCGGUUCCGACGCCACUUGCCCCCCUCCUUGAUUAAAGACGUGAGGCGCCUCUGGUUCUUUGUUGACUCCUGACUUAAAGCAAGAACAAGCCGCCUCCCGAGCCGGGCGGGCGGGCAGGCUGUUCUUCCUCAGCUAAAAACAACCCCGAAAACGAGACGAGCUACCCGGUGAGAAACGAGUCCUGGAGAAGGAACCACCACAUACACGCAGGACGCAGGGUGGAAAGGGGGCGUAUUUACACGGUCGGUUUUUACAUCGCUAGUUCCGCACGGAAAGCAGAAGACGUGUGAGUGAGUUAGCUGCUCCGGAGACGUGAAUGUUAUUGCUGUUGUUGGUUUUUCCCUUCGUUAAACAUCUUCUUUCGGCGGAGAAAUAAUGAGUGAUUAAACUGAAUACACAAUCAUUUCGAUGAUGGGCCUCACACACAGGGAGCGGCGACCACCUACGAGAGGUCUCCUCCCUUCGCAGAGAAACUCGGGUGCAGCUGCAGCGCGGGGCCCCAGGGCCCUGCCGCCCGCCAGCCCCACGCCCUGGCCUCGCCCGGGGGCCCUCGGGGUGGCCCGGGUGGGCCAAGGCC
rnacentral:lncRNA from 1 species